rnacentral:tRNA from 3 species
GCCGAUGUGGCGGAAUGGUAGACGCAGGGGAUUCAAAAUCCCCCGAUAGUAAUAUCGUGAGAGUUCGAGUCUCUCCAUCGGCACCA